GGUUCCCCAGCAGGACACGGAGUGCAAGUUAUGAUGCCCUGGGAUGAUCAGGAGUCCUGAAGUGUGUGAGUUGAGGGGCUGUUUGAAGGAAUAGGAAGCCAACUUCUGAGAUGCUGCCUAGAAACUCAGGCUUAAAUCAGAAAUCUCCAAUGAGCUCCCAGGUCAGCGUCCCGUCCAGAUCCUCCGGGUAAAAGUAGUGGCCGAAGUCCUUGGCAGCAUUCUGGAAGCAGUACUCUACAGGGGGAGGGAUGGCAACUAGAGUCAGCCAGGACUCUCCCUGGAUCACUAUUUACCAUCACACUUCAUCUGCUCCUGCUGCUCACAGUUCUGAGGGGCCGCUCAACUCACCGGCAGGGUCGAAGCUGAAGGUUAGAGAGUCCUCAUCCACGGUGGUGAAGUUACCAUUGUAGCACAGUAUGUGGUCUGCCAGAAAUAAAGGAGGAGAAAAACAC
ensembl:lincRNA predicted gene, 40348